AUUGAACGCUGGCGGCAGGCUUAACACAUGCAAGUCGAGCGGAGAUGAGGUGCUUGCACCUUAUCUUAGCGGCGGACGGGUGAGUAAUGCUUAGGAAUCUGCCUAUUAGUGGGGGACAACAUUCCGAAAGGAAUGCUAAUACCGCAUACGUCCUACGGGAGAAAGCAGGGGAUCUUCGGACCUCGCGCUAAUAGAUGAGCCUAAGUCGGAUUAGCUAGUUGGUGGGGUAAAGGCCUACCAAGGCGACGAUCUGUAGCGGGUCUGAGAGGAUGAUCCGCCACACUGGGACUGAGACACGGCCCAGACUCCUACGGGAGGCAGCAGUGGGGAAUAUUGGACAAUGGGGGAAACCCUGAUCCAGCCAUGCCGCGUGUGUGAAGAAGGCCUUAUGGUUGUAAAGCACUUUAAGCGAGGAGGAGGCUACUGAGACUAAUACUCUUGGAUAGUGGACGUUACUCGCAGAAUAAGCACCGGCUAACUCUGUGCCAGCCGCCGCAGUAA
rnacentral:rRNA from 1 species